rnacentral:lncRNA from 1 species
GAGCCGUGUCUCCCGGCCGACUUGGGUGUCCCGGUUGGUGUGUGGUCGGGCCUGGGACGGGCGUGGUGCGGCGGGAACCGCCGGGUAGCGACCACGUCUCGUCAGGGGGUUCGUGCCUGCUGCUGGGCACGGGAACGGCUCCGGGGGGGUCUUACGGGCGCUGAGGGGAUUCCGCAUCAUGGAGAGGUCAAGGGGAGUUGGUGGCCGUCACCCUUCGUCAGGGCAGGGUAGCCUCAGUGCUCCCGUGCUGGGGUUCCUGGAGAGCCGGCUGGCACGGACAGACUCUUGUGAGGGCAAGUGGCUGAUCGUGCGUCGGAUGGGUCCAGCAAAGGAGAGAAAGCUUCGGUGCGCGCGCGCUCGCCAGGGAAAGGGUGACAGCGGGUGGGACCGAGAGGGAGAGAGAGAGAGGGAGAGAACAAAGGAAGAGAGAGGGUUUCCGCAGGGGCGGUGAGUCCUGGCGGAAGUCCUGAGGCAGAGGAGGUGCCAGGGGUUUGGGUUUCCCGGUCGUGUCGGGGGUGUGGCGCAGGUUGCCCCAGUGGGCCUGAAUGUGCCUCCGUGGGGCACCUUGUUGCCGUGUUGGGGGGCGGGGAGCCGGCCUUGGGGAUCCAUCUUUCGGGCCCUGGGACGUGGGAGAAGAAUGCCGGGGCCUCUCUCUGUGCCCCUGGCACGCCUCUGUGCAGGCCGGGCCUGCACCCCCCCCCAGGCAGGGUCCGUGUGGCUGCAGACACCCAGAGAGAGGGGAGGCUGGGGAGGCUGGGGAGCCGUGGCAGCCCGAUGCAGUGCGGGUCUCCAGGUGGAGGGGCCCUGGUCCCCUGGCGCCAGCGUGGCCCUUCCUCCUUGUGGAAACCCUUGUGGUGUGUGUGCUCUCUCGCCCUGACCCAGGAGAGCAGCAUGGCGGACCCCUGAUCUUGUGGCGUGCCACCGCGCGAGGCCGAGGAGCUCCCGCAGACCAGUGGGCGUGGCGUCCUUGUCGCGGCUCUGUGGAGACCUGGCGAUGGAGAGCAGCAUGGCGGACCCCUGAUCUUGUGGCGUGCCACCGCGCGAGGCCGAGGAGCUCCCGCAGACCAGUGGGCGUGGCGUCCUUGUCGCGGCUCUGUGGAGACCUGGCGAUGGAGAGCAGCAUGGCGGACCCCUGAUCUUGUGCGUGCCACCGCGCGAGGCCGAGGAGCUCCCGCAGCCCAGUGGCGUGGCGUUGUCGCGG